rnacentral:rRNA from 1 species
UACGGAGGGUGCAAGCGUUGUCCGGAUUUAUUGGGUUUAAAGGGUGCGUAGGCGGUCGAUUAAGUCAGUGGUGAAAUCCUGCAGCUCAACUGUAGAACCGCCAUUGAUACUGAUUGACUUGAGUACAGACGAGGUAGGCGGAAUUUAUGGUGUAGCGGUGAAAUGCAUAGAUACCAUAAAGAACACCUAUUGCGAAGGCAGCUUACUAGGCUGUAACUGACGCUGAGGCACGAAAGCGUGGGGAUCAAACAGG